rnacentral:misc_RNA from 1 species
GUGAAAAGGGAGCUCAUGUUCUUGUUGUUCCAGAACUUUCUGACUUCCUUAUAUCAGCAUUGGACAAGGUUGGAAAUGUUUCUGUCUCUUGCAAGAAGAUUCCAUUGCUUGCCCUUGAAUAUGAACCACCAAGGACAAAGUCCUCAAAAUCCAUUGAGGCAUCAUUGAGACUUGAUGCUGUAGCUAGUGCAGGAUUCAAAGUUUCUCGAACUAAAAUGGCCAGUUUGAUUAGUAAUGGAGAUGUUCGUGUCAAUUGGAGCACCGUGACAAAAAGCAAUACUAUCAUUAAGACUGGAGACAUGAUAUCAGUUAGCGGAGAAGGAAGACUUAAAAUUGGGGAAAUAAGCUCAACAAGGAAGGGAAAGUUCUCUGUUGAGCUCAUUCGGUAUUUGUAAAGCAUGAAGUUAUUUGGCGAUAUUGAUUCCAACAACUUAAAGGCUGCUAUAGAUACUUAUCAAGCCCUCAUUUGCCAUUCCACCGCGCUCCCUAAUCAAAGGCAACUUCAUACCCCAGGGAUAUUCGAACCCAAGAUCUUUGAUUAAAGAUGAAAAACUACUUACCAUUCCACCACAACUCCUGGUACUCGUUUGUUACCUUAAGGUGUAAAUAAUUCAAGCCUAGACAUCUGAUAUUUCAAAAAUAUAUGAGUGUAAGGAGUAGAGCUAUUAACACAGGCUGGCUUGGAUUGAGCGGGCUAAAGAUUUGAACAGCCUAGCCAACCCAACUAUUCAUUUGAAAGGGCCUCCAAAAUACUAGCUCAAUUGAGCCCUAAGCGGCCGAGCUAGCACUAAAUUGUUAUUUUUUUCAGAAAAAUGUAUGAGUUAUUUUUUUAGGAGGAAAUCUUUUAAAUGUAAUUGUGUAUUAUUAUUGUUGUUU